AUUGAACGCUGGCGGCAGGCCUAACACAUGCAAGUCGAGCGAGCGGCGGACGGGUGAGUAAUGUAUGGGGACUGCCCGAUAGAGGGGGAUAACUACUGGAAAAGGUAGCUAAUACCGCAUACUAUCGGAUAACCCAGAUGGGAUUGGCUAGUAGGGGAGGUAAGGGCUCACCUAGGCGACGAUCCCUAGCGGGUCUGAGAGGAUGAUCAGCCACACUGGAACUGAGACACUGCCCAGACGCCUACGGAGGCAGCAGUGGGGAAUAUUGCACAAUGGGCGCAAGCCUGAUGCAGCCAUGCCGAGUGUAUGAAGAAGGCCUUAGGGUUGUAAAGUACUUUCAGCGGGGAGGCGUUACCCGCAGAAGAAGCACCGGCUAACUCCGUGCCAGCCGCCGCGGUAAUAC
rnacentral:rRNA from 1 species